AGUGAACGCUGGCGGUAGGCCUAACACAUGCAAGUCGAACGGCAGCACAGUAAGAGCUUGCUCUUACGGGUGGCGAGUGGCGGACGGGUGAGGAAUACAUCGGAAUCUACUUUUUCGUGGGGGAUAACGUAGGGAAACUUACGCUAAUACAGCAUACGACCUACGGGUGAAAGCAGGGGAUCUUCGGACCUUGCGCGAUUGAAUGAGCCGAUGUCGGAUUAGCUAGUUGGCGGGGUAAAGGCCCACCAAGGCGACGAUCCGUAGCUGGUCUGAGAGGAUGAUCAGCCACACUGGAACUGAGACACGGUCCAGACUCCUACGGGAGGCAGCAGUGGGGAAUAUUGGACAAUGGGCGCAAGCCUGAUCCAGCCAUACCGCGUGGAUGAAGAAGGCCUUCGGGUUGUAAAGCCCUUUUGUUGGGAAAGAAAAGCAGCAGGUUAAUACCCCGCUGUUCUGACGGUACCCAAAGAAUAAGCACCGGCUAACUUCGUG
rnacentral:rRNA from 1 species